AACAAGGAGGAAAACCAACCUCCAAGCUACCAGAUAAAAUUGCAAAGAAAACAAAAUACUCAUCUACAACAUCCAAAACCACCCUUGCCUUCCCCAGAAAGCAACAUAUACAUCUCCCAUCAAACAAAAAGAGAUUAGCAAAACAUCAAAACAAACAAAUAGAGGAGAUCCGGACGUGACUCAUAACUAAAAUACCUAUACAACCAGGUUGUUCAUACACAAUCUACAAAAGUAAUAGCGAAAGUAUAGAACCUCCCUCGUGCACUUCAAAAAUCUUUUCUGUUGAUUGGUUGUCCACACGAACCGCAACCUUUUCAGCCUCAUGAAAACCACUUGUCCAAAGCGCCUCUAAUGAUCUUGAAUAGACGGAAACAAAAAAAAAAAAAACCAACACAAACCACAAUAGACAACAAUAAGCUGCCAUGACCAGGAAAAACCAACAUUCAUUGUAAUCCUGAUGCGCCCUCAACCCCUUCAUCCAACUCAUUAGUUACCCAUAUAAAUUCUUUCGAUCUUUGCACCUCGAUUUUGGUUAAGUAAUCUGCGACUUCGUUUGCUGAUCUGGGUAUUUUCCUAAAACUCCAUCCCCUCAGUUGAGUUUUGAAAGACUCCAUUUGCAUCAUUGUGAUCUCAAUCUCCAUGGGGCCACUGAUGGAUCCUUUGCCCACUUCACUACCUUUUUCGAAUCACUUUCUAUGAUAACGUUAAAGGUGGUAGCCCAUCAUGAAGUUGCAACUAUUUGAAGAGCCUUUUUGAUAGCCAUGGUUUCAACCGUAUUAGCAUUCAUCACAUCAACACACAUCGAAAAUUGUAUUAAAAUUCUACCCACCUCGUUUCUAAACACCACCCUA
rnacentral:lncRNA from 1 species